UAGAAUUGACGGGGCCCGCACAAGCAGCGGAGCAUGUGGUUUAAUUCGAAGCAACGCGAAGAACCUUACCUAGACUUGACAUCUCCUGAAUUACCCGUAACUGGGGAAGCUCUUCGGAGCAGGAAGACAGGUGGUGCAUGGUUGUCGUCAGCUCGUGUCGUGAGAUGUUGGGUUAAGUCCCGCAACGAGCGCAACCCUUAUCGUUAGUUGCUACCAUUAAGUUGAGCACUCUAGCGAGACUGCCCGGGUUAACCGGGAGGAAGGUGGGGAUGACGUCAAAUCAUCAUGCCCCUUAUGUCUAGGGCUACACACGUGCUACAAUGGUGAGGACAAAGAGACGCAAGACCGCGAGGUGGAGCAAAUCUCACAAACCUCAUCCCAGUUCGGAUUGCAGGCUGAAACUCGCCUGCAUGAAGCCGGAGUUGCUAGUAAUCGCGAAUCAGCAUGUCGCGGUGAAUACGUUCCCGGGCCUU
rnacentral:rRNA from 1 species